UACGUAGGUGACAAGCGUUGUCCGGAUUUACUGGGCGUAAAGAGCGCGCAGGCGGUCGUUCAAGUCGAGUGUGAAAGCCCCCGGCUCAACUGGGGAGGGUCACUCGAUACUGAUCGACUUGAAGGCAGGAGAGGGAAGCGGAAUUCAUGGUGUAGCAGUGAAAUGCGUAGAGAUCAUGAGGAAGACCAGUGGCGAAGGCGGGUCUCUGGACAGUUCCUGACACUGAGGCACGAAGACCAGGGGAGCAAACAGG
rnacentral:rRNA from 1 species